GACAAGCAUUCUCUGCCCUCCAUCCCAUGGCAUCACCUUGCCCUUGCUGGCCUGGAAACCACCAUGUUUCUUGGUUUCAAAGGGAAAUGGCCGAGUGGAAGCAGGAGGUUAGGUCAUCGCCUUGUGCGUAAAGAUUUCACGUCCUGAUUUCGGAUGUGUGUAAGUUUUGGCAUCGUUGUAUAUUCUUGUGAGAGUUAACUGUACAGUGGGUGUACAAGAAGCUCUGCCUGCUCUGUAAAGUUAUUGUAUAUAUCCUUACAAUACCAAUCCCCCGGAUGCAUCAGAUUAAUGGAAUCGAGCGUUUAAUA